GACGAACGCUGGCGGCGUGCCUAAUACAUGCAAGUCGAGCGAGCGGAACCAACAGAUUUACUUCGGUAAUGACGUUGGGAAAGCGAGCGGCGGAUGGGUGAGUAACACGUGGGGAACCUGCCCCUAAGUCUGGGAUACCAUUUGGAAACAGGUGCUAAUACCGGAUAAUAAAGCAGAUCGCAUGAUCAGCUUUUGAAAGGCGGCGUAAGCUGUCGCUAAGGGAUGGCCCCGCGGUGCAUUAGCUAGUUGGUAAGGUAACGGCUUACCAAGGCGACGAUGCAUAGCCGAGUUGAGAGACUGAUCGGCCACAUUGGGACUGAGACACGGCCCAAACUCCUACGGGAGGCAGCAGUAGGGAAUCUUCCACAAUGGACGCAAGUCUGAUGGAGCAACGCCGCGUGAGUGAAGAAGGUUUUCGGAUCGUAAAGCUCUGUUGUUGGUGAAGAAGGAUAGAGGUAGUAACUGGCCUUUAUUUGACGGUAAUCAACCAGAAAGUCACGGCUAACUACGUGCCAGCAGCCGCGGUAAUACGUAGGUGGCAAGCGUUGUCCGGAUUUAUUGGGCGUAAAGCGAGCGCAGGCGGAAAAAUAAGUCUAAUGUGAAAGCC
rnacentral:rRNA from 1 species